CUUGGUAAGGCUUACUUCAGAAAACUUGCAUUAUUUCAAUGGCAAGCUACUACCUAUACAUGUUUGGUCUAAUAUCAUCAUCAAUAAAGGAGAAGUGAUUUGAAUUAGGCAUUCCAAUGGUUCUACCCGGAACAGAUGCCGACAAUGUGUCUCCAACGGGCAUCAGUGGCAUCAGGUCAGGAUAGGAGGUAUUGAUAGGAUAAUUGGGAUAGGCGUAUCUACUUGAAGAAGGUAAACCUGUGUCCAAGUAAGGAUCAAAAUAAGGCUU
rnacentral:misc_RNA from 1 species